rnacentral:lncRNA from 1 species
UUUUUUUCUGACUAAAUAGAAUUCCUGACGUUAGGAUAUCAAAGUGGGGUUAACGAAAAAGAAAACAGAACGAACUUCGUGGAAAUUAAUGACAACGACUAGCUACCUCUGCAAUCGCCAAUCAGGUUUAGUGGCACCAAGAUUCAACCCCCAAUUGAGCAUACAAGGCAGAAUAUUGGCUUGUGUUCUUGAUGGAUUUGGAAAUGUGUUCCGGGUCCGGACCCGGUAACAACAGUCACAGAAAGCACUAGAAUGUGUCACGGCCAGGACCAGUUCCAGAACCAUCAGAAGAGAAAAUUGGACCACAUCACAAGCCGAAAAGGUAACCAUUAAACCAAACCAAAAGUCGGGAGAUCAUUACAUUCAUUUAUGCAAAACACGAUCAUACCGGGAGUUGACAUGUACAUGAUACUUCUUAUCAGACAAGGAAGUUGAAACUAGUUUGUACUUUACUAGUAUUAUAUCAUACAUAUUACUACUGAGCAGUAGCUUUCUUGGCUUUCUUAGCAGCAGAGGACUUGAUGGAUUUGGGCUGCUUUGGUUUGGCAGCAGCCGAUUUCUUUGCCUUCUUAGGCGGAGGAGGAGCGGCGGCGGCAGACUCUGCUUUGAUUUUAGCUGCAGCAGUUACGGACCUUGUUUUCCUUGGGGCCUUGGCCUUGGUCUUGAUCUCUUUUUUG